AUGCUUAUCUCUUUGCAACAUUUUUCUUAUCAGGAACAUGCACAUUUUGUCAUUAUUGCAAAUGUACAUGACUCUAUAAGAAUGUUCAGUAUAAAUAUUGCUGUGAUGCUUCCUCCUCACUCUCAGUAGAAACAGACAGCUCCAGUGUUUAGGCUCUAGUUAUCCUGCUGCAAUGAAGAAAAAAUCAACCAUACAUUUGACUCAAAUUUUACUUAUUUUCAUCCUCAUUCAAGGAACCUUGACAAACAUGAUCGAUAGACCAAGGUAUCCUUGGUACCACAAGUGGUUAUCUGAUGAUGCUGGAUAUGCGCUUGAUGAGCCUCAGAUGGGACAGGAUCUGCCAGGAUCUGGAUCCGGUGAUGGCACAGAGAAGCCAUUCAGCCCAAGCGAUGAAGACAAGAGCAGUUUUCAACCAGAAUGAGCCGAUUCAAGGAAUAGCCAAGAUGUCUAGAAGAACUUGUGGACCAAUUUUCUCACGGCCUGUCUCUAUUAAACCUUUUUGUUUUAAUUUUGGAAUCAUUGUCAGCCGUACUAUAACAUUUUGUAGAAUUAAGUAAUGAAUUAAAAUGUUAGAUGCAAACAAAAAACAUAUUCAAUAAAAAGAUAAUAAUCAAAUGAUAUUCAUUGUUUCAUUUCUCUUGUCUUCAAAUUCAGAGAAUAGACUAACAUUCUACUAACGAUCAUAUAAUAAAGGCUACAGGCUGGUCAGUGCAAAUAAACUGGCUUUUAACUAUAGUAAUUUAAUGUUAGUUUAACCAGUCAUUAUCUUAACUGCCUCAGAAUACAUGCUCUCAAGCAAUCAUAUGUUUUAUUCUGAAACCCACUCUGUAACUCUACUGUAAAACCAGCUAUACCAUCCCUAUAAAUAAUUCAUUUGUUAUAUCAGGAGUUGUAUUACUAAAUUUAAUAAUUUCUAAAAUCUUCACCUUGACCAAAUUAUUUUACACUUUCAUCCUUGAUCAUAUACUGCCCCAUUUUGUCUCAGAAAGUAAAUAUGUCGCUCCGGUGAUUGAUAGAGAGUUUCUACCAAUCCAACUAACAAUAAUAAUAAUAAAUACAAAAUAAAAUCCAUAGAUAGGGCUAAGUAUAGUUAUUUUUUGCACUGAAGUGUGGGAUGAGGUAGGGUUAUUUUCAACACUGUAGAGAGUAGGCUAUACCAGGGAUGCUAAACCUUGUCCUGGAGGAGCUUCACUUGCCUCAACACAAAGCUUGUGUCCCAAUGUUGCUACAUACUAUCCUUCCAAAAUUAUAUGUUAUAUUAUUAAUUUUCAAUACUAUUUAGGGCAGAUAGGGUGGAUAGUAUGCACAUUGGGACACAGUGGCAGUUUCAGGUAAGACCUUGAUUAGCUGCUUCAAGUGUGUUUCAUUAGGGUUGGAGCUAAACUCUGCAGGACUGAGUCUGUUUUUUUUUUUCACUGUACAUAUUACAAUUCUAUGUGGGAUUAUUUUCGCACUGAUAGUAUAGGGUUAAGUAAGCUUAUUUUUUUCACUGUAGAUGGUACAGGGUUCUGUAGGGUUAUUUUUUUCAAUCUAGACACUAUAGGUUAAGAAGAUAUUUGUAUACACUGCAGAAAGUAUAGAGUUUAAAUACAGGGUUUUCCAGCAUUCGCAGUUCUAGCUUGGCAAGACUUUCCUAAAGCUUAGAAUGGAGUCAUAGGAAGCAAGGCUGUUAAUUUCACUAGCUAGGGAUCUGUUGGGCCCAAAUUAUGUGCACUGGUUUGCCCAAGAGCUUCAAAACAAUUCUGCACCGUGUACAGAUAGACGUACAGUUAUUACUCUGUCUGAGGAGAAGCGUUAUGGCGGGAACAGAAUCUGAUGGCGAGGAAACAGCGUCAUCAAGCGGUUAAAUAUGAUAUGGUUCUUCCAGACAGAGUGACGUGCGGUUCAAGCAGGAAGUGAGCGCGUUCACGUGUGAUUGUGUUGUUCUGUUUUGCCGCCUUGACGCAAACUUACUUCACUUACAUAAGCUCUUAGUCAACUUUUAUUCGUUUCG
ensembl:lncRNA